CGUAGGAACUACGAGAUUAACCCAAGGACGCCUUCGGCGGCGGAUGUCAGCGGUUCGAGUCCGCUUAUCUCCA
rnacentral:tRNA from 1 species